GGCGUGAUGGUGAAAAUGGUAGACACGAUGGAUUUAAGAUCCAUUGGCCAGUAAUGGUCGUGUGGGUUCGAACCCCACUCGCGCUA
rnacentral:tRNA from 1 species